AACGCUAGCUACAGGCUUAACACAUGCAAGUCGAGGGGCAGCGCAGUGUAGCAAUACAUGGGCGGCGACCGGCGCACGGGUGCGUAACGCGUAUCCAACCUUCCCGUUACUCAGGGAUAGCCUUCCGAAAGGGAGAUUAAUACCUGAUGGUGUUUGAAUUCCGCAUGUUAUUCAAACUAAAGAUUUAUCGGUAACGGAUGGGGAUGCGUGACAUUAGGUAGAUGGCGGGGUAACGGCCCACCAUGCCUACGAUGUCUAGGGGUUCUGAGAGGAAGGUCCCCCACACUGGAACUGAGACACGGUCCAGACUCCUACGGGAGGCAGCAGUGAGGAAUAUUGGUCAAUGGUCGGAAGACUGAACCAGCCAAGUAGCGUGAAGGAUGAAGGUUUUAUGGAUUGUAAACUUCUUUUAUACGGGAAUAAAACCACCUACGUGUAGGUGCUUGUAUGUACCGUAUGAAUAAGCAUCGGCUAACUCCGUGCCAGCAGCCGCGGUAAUACGGAGGAUGCGAGCGUUAUCCGGAUUUAUUGGGUUUAAAGGGAGCGUAGACGGGAGAUUAAGUCAGUUGUGAAAGGCUGCGGCUCAACCGCAGCACUGCAGUUGAUACUGGUUUCCUUGAGUGCGGUUGAGGUGUAUGGAAUUCGUGGUGUAGCGGUGAAAUGCUUAGAUAUCACGAAGAACUCCGAUUG
rnacentral:rRNA from 1 species